rnacentral:rRNA from 1 species
UACGGGGGGGGCAAGCGUUGUUCGGAAUUACUGGGCGUAAAGGGCUCGUAGGCGGCCAACUAAGUCAGACGUGAAAUCCCUCGGCUUAACCGGGGAACUGCGUCUGAUACUGGAUGGCUUGAGUUUGGGAGAGGGAUGCGGAAUUCCAGGUGUAGCGGUGAAAUGCGUAGAUAUCGGGAGGAACACCAGUGGCGAAGGCAGCUCUCUGGGACGGUACUGACGCUGAGACGCGAAAGCGUGGGGAGCGAACAGG